AUGACGAUCUGCGCGGGCGUCGAUUCCUACCGGGCGUCGCCGGCGGACAUGCGGGUCGUGACGUCGGACGGGCAGAGCAUCGCCGCGCAUUCCUACAUUCUUGCCUCGGCGUCGCCGGUGCUGGAGCGGAUGAUCGACAGGGCGCAGCGCGGGUGGGGCGCCGAGUGCACCAUCCCCGUCCUCGGCGUCUCCUUCGACGCCGUCCACGCCUUCAUCCACUUCCUCUACUCCUCCAAGUCCAAGGUGGUGCCCGCGGAGGAGGAGGCGGUGGGCGCGAACUGGACGCAGCUGCUGGCGCUGGCGCACGCGUACCGGGUGGGGUGGCUGAAGCGGGCGGCGGAGGCGGCCGUGUCGGCGCGCCUGACGCCGGAGCGCGCCGUGGACAUGCUGAAGCUGGCGAGGCUCUGCGACGCGCCGCGGCUGUACAUGCGGUGCGCGCGCCUCGCGGCCAAGGAGUUCGCGGCCGUGGAGCAGUCCGACGGGUGGCGCUUCGCGCGGCGCCACGACGCCGCGCUGGAGCUCGAGCUCCUCACGCUCCUCGAGGACGCCGACCAGCGGAACGAGCGUUGGGCGCGCGAGAGGGCCGCGCAGGAGGCGUGCCGGCAGCUCGGUCAGGCCAUGGCCUCCCUCGAGCACAUCUUCCCCGGCGAGUCCGGCGCCAAGGCCGCCUGCGCGGACGCGGACGCGCCGUGCGCGAGGGCGGGGUGCACGUGCCGGGGCCUGCAGGUGCUGAUGCGGCACUUCGCGACGUGCGCGAGAAAGAUGGCGCCCGGCGGGUGCGCGCGGUGCAAGCGCAUGCUGCAGCUGUUCCGGCUCCACGCCUCCGUCUGCGACCGGCCGGACCGGGCCUGCCGUGUGCCGCUUUGCAGCCAUUUCAAGGCGAAAUCGCAGAUGGGGAAAGCGGACAAGACAUGGCGGCUUCUGGUGAAGAAGGUGACGAGGGCCAAGGUGAUGUCCUCCAUGGCCGAGAGGAAGGUGGUGCCGGAGGUCGUGGCCGAGUCAUGGGCGAGGUACAACCGUAGAGGAGCCAAGUUGAGAUGA
rnacentral:rRNA from 1 species